GGGAGUCUGGCCGAGUGGUUAUGGCGUUGUGUUUAGGUUAUCCCUUAAUUGGGUGUUAUUCUUGAACCGCAAUGGGUACGCCCGCGCAGGUUCGAUCCCUGCGGCUCCCA
rfam:Stachybotrys chlorohalonata IBT 40285 unplaced genomic scaffold scaffold1819, whole genome shotgun sequence.